rnacentral:rRNA from 1 species
GACGGAGGAUGCAAGUGUUAUCCGGAAUCACUGGGCGUAAAGCGUCUGUAGGUGGUUUAAUAAGUCAACUGUUAAAUCUUGAGGCUCAACCUCAAAAUCGCAGUCGAAACUAUUAGGCUAGAGUAUAGUAGGGGUAAAGGGAAGUUUCCAGUGGAGCGGUGAAAUGCGUAGAGAUUGGAAAGAACACCGAUGGCGAAGGCACUUUACUGGGCUAUUACUAACACUCAGAGACGAAAGCUAGGGUAGCAAAUGGG